rnacentral:tRNA from 1 species
UUAAUUGAAACCAAAAAGAGGUAUAUCACUGUUAAUGAUAAAAUUAAGUUUAACUUCAAUUAAA